rnacentral:rRNA from 1 species
GAUGAACGCUGGCGGCGUGCCUAAUACAUGCAAGUCGAGCGAACGGACGAGAAGCUUGCUUCUCUGAUGUUAGCGGCGGACGGGUGAGUAACACGUGGAUAACCUACCUAUAAGACUGGGAUAACUUCUGGAAACCGGAGCUAAUACCGGAUAAUAUUUUGAACCGCAUGGUUCAAAAGUGAAAGACGGUCUUGCUGUCACUUAUAGAUGGAUCCGCGCUGCAUUAGCUAGUUGGUAAGGUAACGGCUUACCAAGGCAACGAUGCAUAGCCGACCUGAGAGGGUGAUCGACCACACUGGAACUGAGACACGGUCCAGACUCCUACGGGAGGCAGCAGUAGGGAAUCUUGCGCAAUGGGCGAAAGCCUGACGGAGCAACACCGCAUGAGUGAUGAAGGUCUUCGGAUCGUAAAACUCUGUUAUUAGGGAAGAACAUAUGUGUAAGUAACUGUGCACAUCUUGACGGUACCUAAUCAGAAAGCCACGGCUAACUACGUG